rnacentral:lncRNA from 1 species
CCUGGUCUAACCUGGUCAUUGAAGUGUCUAUGAUAGUUAAUACCCCUAAAAGCCAGAGAAAGUUCAAGUGUUAGGAGGUGUCAUCUCAGAUGUUGAAGAGGGGUUGAGUUUCCUCAGUGUGUUAGGAGGUGUCAUCUCAGAUGUUGAAGAGGUGUUGGGUUUCCUCAGUGUGUUAGGAGGUGUCAUCUCAGAUGUUGAAGAGGUGUCGGGUUGAGUUUCCUCAGUGUGUUAGGAGGUGUCAUCUCAGAUGAUGAAGAGGUGUUGGGUUUCCUCAGUGUGUUAGGAGGUGUCAUCUCAGAUGUUGAAGAGGGGUUGAGUUUCCUCAGUGUGUUAGGAGGUGUCAUCUCAGAUGUUGAAGAGGUGUUGGGUUGAGUUUCCGCAGUGUGUUAGGAGGUGUCAUCUCAGAUGUUGAAGAGGUGUCAGGUUGAGUUUCCUCAGUGUGUUAGGAGGUGUCAUCUCAGAUGUUGAAGAGGUGUUGGGUUGAGUUUCCUCAGUGUGUUAGGAGGUGUCAUCUCAGAUGAUGAAGAGGUAUCGGGUUGAGUUUCCUCAGUGUGUUAGGAGGUGUCAUCUCAGAUGUUGAAGAGGGGUUGAGUUUCCUCAGUGUGUUAGGAGGUGUCAUCUCAGAUGUUGAAGAGGUGUUGGGUUGAGUUUCCUCAGUGUGUUAGGAGGUGUCAUCUCAGAUGUUGAAGAGGUGUUGGGUUGAGUUUCCUCAGUGUGUUAGGAGGUGUCAUCUCAGAUGAUGAAGAGGUAUCGGGUUGAGUUUCCUCAGUGUGUUAGGAGGUGUCAUCUCAGAUGUUGAAGAGGGGUUGAGUUUCCUCAGUGUGUUAGGAGGUGUCAUCUCAGAUGUUGAAGAGGUGUUGAGUUUCAUCAAUGUGUUAGGAGGUGUCAUCUCAGAUGUUGAAGAGGUAUUGGGUUUCCUCAGUGUGUUAGGAGGUGUCAUCUCAGAUGUUGAAGAGGUAUUGGGUUUCC